UACACUCCUGCGGGAGGCAGCAGUGGGGAAUCUUGCGCAAUGGGCGAAAGCCUGACGCAGCCAUGCCGCGUGAAUGAUGAAGGUCUUAGGAUUGUAAAAUUCUUUCACCGGGGACGAUAAUGACGGUACCCGGAGAAGAAGCCCCGGCUAACUUCGUGCCAGCAGCCGCGGUAAUACGAAGGGGGCUAGUGUUGCUCGGAAUUACUGGGCGUAAAGGGAGCGUAGGCGGACAUUUAAGUCAGGGGUGAAAUCCCGGGGCUCAACCUCGGAAUUGCCUUUGAUACUGGGUGUCUUGAGUAUGAGAGAGGUGUGUGGAACUCCGAGUGUAGAGGUGAAAUUCGUAGAUAUUCGGAAGAACACCAGUGGCGAAGGCGACACACUAGCUCAUUACUGACGCUGAGGCUCGAAAGCGUGGGGAGCAAACAGGAUUAGAAACCCGAGUAGUCCCAUG
rnacentral:rRNA from 1 species